AAAAAAAAACUGAAAAACCGCAGGCCACAGACCGUCGAAGAUUAACCAGCGAAAAAACGGCAUUGGUCUUGAACGAGUACGGGCUCGCCUCCUCUCCCUCUCGCUCAAGUCCUCGCCGUCGCCACCACCACCCACGCCGGCAGCUUCCGGCGAGCUCCGGCGCCCCGCAGCACACCCCCGAACUCCCCACGGUCCGCUCCUCCCUACCCUCCGGCCAGAUUCUCCGCUCCCGGUCUCUACCGCCCGCUCGAAACGCUACCCCCAUGGCUAGGAUUUCAGGCAGGGCUUCACCGGCGCGUCUCCGGCGGCCCAGAUGCAGAUGGAGCACGCCAUGGGAGUUCCCCAUCCACCAUGGUCGCCGCCGUCAAGGGCUUCUUCACGGAGAUGUGGAGGACGCCAUGGACCUGCAGCUCCUCAAGGUCAACAGGGAGGAACCCUAGCCAGCAGCACCUCCUCGGAUGACGCCUCUGCUACACCAAGAUAGAGAGAUAUAUGAUAUCUACAUGGCUGCUAUGCUACUUUUUUUGUGUGAUGAAUCAUUGUGAGUUUCGAAGAAACUUCCAAUGUUACCUCCGCCAAGUUUGCCGGUGGAAGAAGCACAUCCAUCCAUUGAGCCGUUCUAUGUCGCCUGUGGUGGCUACACCAGAGGGUAACCAUAGUAGCAUCUUGAGCCCAAGAAUAGUGUUACUGCCAUUUAACGCCGCGAUGUUUUAGCUCCAGGAAUUUGGACCCUCCUGCGAUAAGAAUCAGUUGAAAAGGUUGGUCUAUGCUACUUCUCUAAGGAUGAUUAAAUGUGCUUUGUUGUUAAUUGUAGUGAUAGUGACUAUGAUUGAAUUGGUAAGGUGACAAAUUGACAGUUAUUGCUUGAUGAUCUUACUCUUUUUCAUCACAUUGCAUACUUCUUAGAUGGGAAUCAUCGAAUGUAUACAUAUAUGACAGUUAUAACAUAUAGGGGGGAAAUAACUUAUUCCCUAUAGGCUGAUUAUUAAAAAAUGUUGGACACUGUAUUAACUGUAUUUUAUUCCUGAUUGAGCAAUCUUAUGGUCUCUUGCCCUCGAGCGAGAAACAGUCGCCCAACUCUGUGCCCUCGUUCGCCGCCGCCGCCCUUCGUCCCCUCACCACCACCGCUAGAUCCCUACGCCGCCGCUCGGUGCCGCCAGCCCCCGACCUCCUCCCCGGCUCCCGGCGCUGCCCGCCCCCAAUCUGCUCCCCCGAUCCCGGCGUUGCCCGGCCCCCACCUUCUCUCUCACUCUCGGCGGCGGAGGAGAAGGAUGGCGACGACGGGCGAAGACAUCGUUGGCGGUGGCGGCGGCGGCGAAUCUGGUAGAGCCCCUCUCUCUUCCCAAGCCUGCCCCUCUCACCCUCUUCCUCAAGCGGCAAGACCCCAGGGGGAUGGAGGACUGAUGACGCGGGCGUUGGUGCGCUGGCGUGUCGGUCCGGCGGUGAGAGGAGGACGCCCAUCCCAGCCCGAAGCAGCAUAAGGCAACUGAAAAGCGGAGCAGAUCAAGCACCUGGGGUCGCCUGAGGCGGCUCGGUGCACCUCCAAGUGCGUCAGUAGCUGCGUCCUCCGUGGAGCCGGCGCUCCUGGCAUCAUCAGGCCCUUCAACGUCAGAAGGUAAUUAGACCAAGGGAUGAGUCAUCGAUGGAUGGAUUAUGUCCAGCCAUUCAUUAUCCCCAUGCUUGUAUAUGUCAGCAAUGCAUCUGUUUUUGGUUUGCAUUAGAUUUGUAUGAACUACUUAAUUAGUAUUGAGUCUCAAUGGCAUCUUCUCUUAGGAGCAGUUGAUGGGGGAGAUCCUAGCAUUCUACAUUUGGGGAGGUUUUAAAUCUUUUUCUGUAGAGAAAUUGAUCCAGUCCUGAAUAUUAGAUUAGUCUAUUUUACAAGGUUGAGAGUAGCUCAAAAGAUUCUCAUAGAUUCUCUACCUUUGCCCUCAUGAAAUAAUUCUAAAACCAAAUAGUGAUGUCAGGUGUAAGUUCCAUGAACAAUAGUUGGUUUCUGUAGUUAUUUGUCAAAUUUUUCAUCAUAGGAUUCUAGGAUUGGUGACUAAGCAGGGUUGUUUUCUUUCUUUAAUACAUACAGGAUUAGGUCAUAACAAUGUAUUUUUAAUGAUCAUACCUUUAAAUGUCACAUGAAAAUAGAACAUAUCCUAACUUUUCUAACCAUUUUCUGUUAUUUGCCUGAGGAACAAGCAACAUGAAUAUUUGUAUUCAAGCUCCCAACAAAGUUAAUACUGUUGUCACAGAAAUAUAGUUCUGUUGUAUGUAUACUUAAUUUCCCAAGAUGUAGAUUUUAUUCUUAUCUUACAUGAUAUUUUUUUUCUUUUUCUGCUUGUGAAAAAACUCAGUUUAAAAAAAAAUAGGUCCUCAUUCUAAAGGAGUAACUUCUUGAACCAGCAGUAGAUAUUGUGUCGGGAAGGACGAGGAGCAGGAGCAUUGGUUCAGAUUUUCUCUGUUGGCCUUGUGUUUGUUUACCGAUUAUUGGCUUGACAUGAAGAUUGAUCAGUAUGUUUUCCAAGCUACAUGGCAUGUUGCAACGCUCUUCGGAGUCAAACCCUUGGGAUGGUCCCUCAAACAUGAUGGUCUAGCUAUUACAAAUUAACCAAGAUCAGCAGGACUAAGAAAAUACAUAUUUGACACUAUUUGAGAUGGUCCCUCAAACAGCCACGCCGCCACACCUGCCGACCCCUGUGCAGCACACCCACCCCUGCGCUCGGCCACCGUGGCGGCGGCGGCCCGGCUCUAGCGUGCCGGCGGCCGUGGCGGAGGCCCCGAAGGCGGUCGUCGGGGCGGGCGGCGCGAGGUGGGAGCCGAUGGGCGCGUGGGAGUACUACGACUACCGGCGGGCCAUCUACGGCGACAUCACGCACAAGGCCAUCCUCGUCGACGCCGCCGGCACCAUCCUCGCCCCCACCGAGUCCAUGGCCCAGGUGUACAGAACAGUAGGCGAAAAGUAUGGGGUGAAGUACUCGGAGGAUGAGAUCUUGAUGAGGACCUCGAGGCCUCGGAGAGCCCCUCCGAACAAGACAUGCACAGGAGCUCUGCCUUGACGGGGAAAGCAGCGGAGUUGGUGCAGUGGCGAAUGUGGGCGGGGUCGGCCGUGGAGGGAGACUUGCUGGUCAGAGCAGCAGGAGCAAGAAGGUUGAGGCGGUUCAGGGCAAGACAAGAACAUUUAGUUGGAUCCAGAGUAUUGAGAUUGCAGAGGACUCAACAAAGGAAAUUGAAUGCAUAUAAGGAUCGAGGACCUUUACAUUGGAUGCAUGAUGAUGAUCAUCCACCGAGCAGCACAUCAUCUUGGAAAAGCAGAUGCGAAUUUCUGCUAGGUUUGCUUCUCCGGUUGUCCCUCCCAUCAACUCUCUCAGCUCCCAAACCAUUAACCCCGUCCUGGUUGUUCCUAUAUUUUCUUUUUGUUUUGUUUUUACCAAUGCACUUUUCUUGACAUGUUUUGGUGUGUUCCUUCCUACGGCCAGCUCGACCAUUUGCUCCGCAGGGAGUUUUUAGCUCAGAAGGAGCAAAUAAUUUGAGAAUGCAUUGGUCUUUUCUGCAAUCUGUUGUUCCUAAGUCAUAACUUGUUCCUUUUCUUUUUCUUAGCUGCAUGUUUUCAUCCAAGUCAGAAUUUUUAUGUGCACUUGAGAACUAACCAUGCUUGUACAGAGACAUAUAAUACAGCACAUUCGUUCCAUAGGUAGGUGUAGGGUUAACCAAUAAUAAUUGCCUCCUUUUUAUUUUCUAAAACUUACAUUCCAAAUAUGUCCCUUUAGGGGGUCCCCUAGAGUGUACAACAUACCAGUAUGCAAGGACUAAUCAGUAGUCUUGUAUGCUUUUUUUUGUCCACGUACCUUCAGCUUAUUAGUUGACCGUUUACAUGUUUGAAUAACCUUACCUCAUGCUAAAGCCGAAAAGGUGGUCAGGUAGAGAGUC